GACGGGGGCCCGCACAAGCAGUGGAGUAUGUGGUUUAAUUCGAAGCAACGCGAAAAACCUUACCAGGUCUUGACAUCGUGUGACAGUCUGAGAGAUCAGAUCUUCCCUUCGGGGACACAUAGACAGGUGGUGCAUGGUUGUCGUCAGCUCGUGUCGUGAGAUGUUGGGUUAAGUCCCGCAACGAGCGCAACCCUUGUUGAUAGUUACUACGCAAAGAGGACUCUAUCGAGACUGCCGUGGACAACACGGAGGAAGGCGGGGAUGACGUCAAAUCAUCAUGCCCUUUAUGACCUGGGCUACACACGUACUACAAUGGCCGUUAACAGAGGGCACCGAAGCAGUGAUGCAGAGGAAAUCCGAUAAAAGCGGUCUCAGUUCAGAUUGCAGGCUGCAACUCGCCUGCAUGAAGUCGGAAUUGCUAGUAAUCGCGGAUCAGCAUGCCGCGGUGAAUACGUUCCCGGGCCUUGUACACACCGCCCGUCACACCAUGAGAGCCGGAAGCACCCGAAGUCGGUAGUCUAACCGCAAGGAGGACGCCGCCGAAGGUGAGGUCGGUAAUUGGGGUGAAGUCGUAACAAGGGUAG
rnacentral:rRNA from 1 species